rnacentral:piRNA from 1 species
UAGAGGGAAUUAGAUGUUACCACCACUGUU